UUAAUGAUGAACAUAUAAUUU
rnacentral:miRNA from 1 species